rnacentral:rRNA from 1 species
GACGAACGCUGGCGGCGUGCCUAACACAUGCAAGUCGAGCGAAGAACUUCGGUUCUUAGCGGCGGACGGGUGAGUAACACGUGGGUAACCUGCCUCAAAGAGGGGGAUAGCCUCCCGAAAGGGAGAUUAAUACCGCAUAAUAUUAGAUCUUCACAUGGAGAUUUAAUUAAAGGAGUAAUCCGCUUUGAGAUGGACCCGCGGCGCAUUAGCUAGUUGGUGAGGUAACGGCUCACCAAGGCUACGAUGCGUAGCCGACCUGAGAGGGUGAUCGGCCACAUUGGAACUGAGACACGGUCCAGACUCCUACGGGAGGCAGCAGUGGGGAAUAUUGCACAAUGGGCGAAAGCCUGAUGCAGCAACGCCGCGUGAGUGAUGAAGGCCUUCGGGUUGUAAAACUCUGUCUUUGGGGACGAUAAUGACGGUACCCAAGGAGGAAGCCACGGCUAACUACGUGCCAGCCGCCGCCGUAA